GAUAUACUCCCUCCGUUUCAAAUUACUCGUCACAGAAAUGGAUGUAUCUAAAACUAAAAUACAUCUAGAUACAUCCAUGUCUGCGACAAGUAAUUCGGAACGGAGGGAGUAUUUC
rnacentral:pre_miRNA from 1 species